rnacentral:tRNA from 2 species
GGAGGGCUAGUCCAAAACAAGACCUCUGACUUCGACUCAGAAAAUCGUGGUUUAACUCCACGGCCCUCUU